GACGAACGCUGGCGGCGUGCUUAACACAUGCAAGUCGAACGGAAAGGCCCUGCUUUUGUGGGGUGCUCGAGUGGCGAACGGGUGAGUAACACGUGAGUAACCUGCCCUUGACUUUGGGAUAACUUCAGGAAACUGGGGCUAAUACCCGGUAGGAGCUCCUGCUGCAUGGUGGGGGUUGGAAAGUUUCGGCGGUAGGGGAUGGACUCGCGGCUUAUCAGCUUGUUGGUGGGGUAGUGGCUUACCAAGGCUUCGACGGGUAGCCGGCCUGAGAGGGUGACCGGCCACAUUGGGACUGAGGUACGGCGCAGACUCCUACGGGAGGCAGCAGUGGGGAAUAUUGCACAAUGGGCGGAAGCCUGAUGCAGAAACGCCGCGUGCGGGAUGACGGCCUUCGGGUUGUAAACCGAUUUCGCCUGUGACGAAGCGUGAGUGACGGUAAUGGGUAAAGAAGCACCGGCUAACUACGUG
rnacentral:rRNA from 1 species